rnacentral:rRNA from 1 species
GACGAACGCUGGCGGCGUGCCUAAUACAUGCAAGUAGAACGCUGAAGGAGGAGCUUGCUCUUCUGGAUGAGUUGCGAACGGGUGAGUAACGCGUAGGUAACCUGCCUGGUAGCGGGGGAUAACUAUUGGAAACGAUAGCUAAUACCGCAUAACAGUAGAUGUUGCAUGACAUUUACUUAAAAGGUGCAAUUGCAUCACUACCAGAUGGACCUGCGUUGUAUUAGCUAGUUGGUGGGGUAACGGCUCACCAAGGCGACGAUACAUAGCCGACCUGAGAGGGUGAUCGGCCACACUGAGACUGAGACACGGCCCAGACUCCUACGGGAGGCAGCAGUAGGGAAUCUUCGGCAAUGGACGGAAGUCUGACCGAGCAACGCCGCGUGAGUGAAGAAGGUUUUCGGAUCGUAAAGCUCUGUUGUAAGAGAAGAACGAGUGUGGGAGUGGAAAGUUCACACUGUGACGGUAUCUUACCAGAAAGGGACGGCUAACUACGUG